GAAAUGCGAUACUUGGUGUGAAUUGCAGAAUCCCGUGAACCAUCGAGUCUUUGAACGCAAGUUGCGCCCGAAGCCAUUAGGCCGAGGGCACGCCUGCCUGGGUGUCACACAUCGUUUCCCCAACGCAAACAUGUAACAAUGUCGAAGCCAUUAGGCCGA
rnacentral:misc_RNA from 1 species